UGCAUGCCAUCAGUCAGGAUGUGGCCCAGAAGUUAAUUGACAGCAUGCCAUCAGUCAGGAUGUGGCCCAGAAGUUAAUUGACAGCAUGCCAUCAGUCAGGAUGUGGCCCAGAAGUUAAUUGACAGCAUGCCAUCAGUCAGGAUGUGGCCCAGAAGGUAAUUGACAGCAUGCCAUCAGUCAGGAUGUGGCCCAGAAGUUAAUUGACAGCAUGACAUCAGUCAGGAUGUGGCCCAGAAGUUAAUUGACAGCAUGCCAUCAGUCAGGAUGUGGCCCAGAAGUUAAUUGACAGCAUGCCAUCAGUCAGGAUGUGGCC